rnacentral:lncRNA from 7 species
AAAUAUUUUAUUCAGCAGCUUGACACUAAAAGCAGACCAAAUCUUCCUUUUAGAGGAAAAGGUGUCACUGGAUUGCAGAGGGGAAGUGUGUAUAGCAGCCAGGUGGUCUCACCUGAUAGCACUGAGGGCUGCCACACAGCUUGUUUUGAGCUUUUCAUUUAAGGAGAAAAAUACUGCCCAGAUCAAUCGAGAUGAAGGAGAGAGAUGGAGAAUGAUUUGUCUUGCCAAAGCUUCACAAACAAGUGAAUGUCAUAGGUGUGGGCUUAACUCAAGAGAUCCUGAACUCCUCAUGUCCUGUGGACAGCCUCAUGCUCUGCUGCAUGCUGGCAGUCUUUAUACUGCGAACUACCAGAAAAGACAUUGACUUACAGCUUCCUGUAGCAAUGAAAACACAAUAUGGAUAUUGUCCUCAGUUUGGUGUCAACAAUUCAACUAGGUGGUCAGAAGCUUUUAUUUGAAUUUUCUGCAUCUUAUUUUGAGGGCUGAAUCCAUGCUUUAUAGAGAUUGGUGUGAAAUGAGUUGUUUAAUUUGCAUAGAUCAGGAAGAAUGGUAGAGGUAUACACUGAAUUUGAAGACAGCAGGAACAAUUAAUUCAUACUGUUUGAUUUAUGAAAUGAAAAGAUAUUAAAACGGUUUUAUUCUUCCAUAAAUCAAGCCCAAGGACUUCACCUAUUUAAGCCAGAUAUUUCAGUUUUCAAAAGAUGCGAGUUACAGAGAGUGGGUGGAAGAGUUCAAUUUGUGACCAAUGCCACUGCAACAGUAGAGAAAUUCUCAAAUCAGGUAAACCAGAUGAUUCCAACAGAUAAGCCAUGUCUUCUGGUGCACCAAAAGGACAAGAUAUAUAACAAAUAAACAUCAUGCUCCAUUAUCACAAAAAGGAGACUGUUUAAAUUCAAGUACAUGAGCAGAUACAACAAUGACACAGAUUUCCUUCAGAGUAUUGGUGUAAAUGCUCUAUAUCUUGGUCUAGAUGUUGCAAGCUACAAGAAGAUAAUGCUUCAGAAAGAGGAAACAAAUAAACAAAAGCAGCUGGAAAUUCCUUCCUGACCCCCUGUUAGUAGAUAAUUCAAACCCUUAAGCUCUGAUUAACCUAAUCGGGUUGAAGUAUAAGCAUUAUGAGAGUACUGAGAUAAUAGACGGUAUCCUGAAUCCAAGUAAUAAAAAAGAACUUGGAUCAAGAUGCAGAAAUAAGAUGAGAUUUCUUAGUUCACUAAAAAAAAAAAGAGGAUGACGUUUGGAUUUACUGACAAUUAAGAAGAACAGCUGUAUAGAAAGUCAUGAAACUAGGAAGAAAUGAAGAAUAGAAAGUCAUGAAACUAAGAAGAAAACUACUUCAUCUGAUUUUCAAAUUCUAUGAUUCUAUUUGUGGUUUCUCCUUUUAAUCUCAUUAUAUGUCUACAUCUUUCAAGCUGUGGAUAGCAUAACUGGAAGUAGUCACCCAAGAGUGACAAUGCAAUGGAAGGCUGCAUCCACCCAUAUUGGGGUGAGAAAGUUUUUAGCAGCUAUUUCCUGUCAACCACAUGAAAGUAGAAUGAGGAUCAUACAGCUUUAAAAUUAGGAGAAGCCAGACUGGACAUUUAGGAAGAAUGAAAACAUUUAAGCAUUACAACAAUUUAGCUGGUGUUACAUUAAGUACUCCAUCAGCAGAAAUAUUGUGGUGAAAAUUGAAUGUCAUUCUCAAUUAGUGCACUCUAGUUCCACAUGUACUGUGGAGAGUGUCACCCCAGAAUGGUUGGCAGUGGAGCUUUUUGGCUUUAUAAGUCUGUGAGGUGAAAACUACAGGUCCCUAUUUCGAUCUACACAGAUGACAGCUCUGUGGCACAGAAGAUGAGCCCCUCCCUCUGCCUGUGGCUGAUGAAGGAGGCUGAAUUGUCCUGCUUGAUGAAGUGCAGUCUCCCUCUUCUUCUGCUUUCUUAUAGACACAUUUGUAGCAUUUCUACCUGUGGAUCUGCCAAAUACUGUAAAAGGAGGUCAUAUUUGGCCUUGUGUGAGACAAAUAAUUCUCUGUUUUUUAUGAAAGUGUUCUGACUGAUUUAUCAUCACUGUGAGCACUGCAGACAAAGAAAAAGAUGAGAGGAUAUUAAGAAAUAAAAAGGAAACCAGAAGACAGACUAGUUAAUGUUUCAGAAAAGGUUUGUUGUAAUGAAUACAAAUGAAAAUCAGUAGCUUUAUAGCAAAUUAUAUUCCAGCUGCAUUGAUUCUAUAUAUUCUGCUUGUUUGCACAUCACUGCAGCUAGAGCUGAUAUAACAGGCAGGUAGGAUUAUUUUGGAAGGCUUUUGCUUCAG